rnacentral:lncRNA from 1 species
UAAAUCUGAUAUUUUCUAUUUUAUAAUAUUCUGUUUUGUUGUUUUGAAACGCCAGUUGUACUCAGCUGAUUUCAUGAACCUCCAGCAGGUCAUGACCAUAGUGUGAAAACACUGGUGUUGAAACCCUAACCAAGAGUGCACAGCCCAGUGUACAGCAGAAUGAGCCUCCUGUCACCAGCCCAGAGCUCUCAGACAGAAUUGAGUUCCUGUACAGUAGGACUUUCCACUCAUGUCUGUGGUCUAGGAGGAGAUUGGGUUGGGCAAACACCAGGCACGAUGGAGCAACCAUUAACCCUGGAGUUGUGAAGACAGGACCACAAGCUGAGAGAGGGCAGCAAUGGAAACCCAGCCAAACUAUUAAUGGAAGGCUGGGUCCCAUUCUUUAUUAUCCUUCUGUGGUCUCGUCACCAGCAGGGUGAGCCAAAGCCGAGGGCAAGAACACGCUGGGUGACCUUCCACACCCCAAAUGCAAGAUCAAGUGCUGUGGAGAAGGAGGCCCAUGGAAGAACUCGCUAGUGGAAACUGUCAACAUUGACUAGCUAUCAUGAGCCAGGACUGAUGGGAUGACGUGAGCAGAGGACACCAUUAUUUUGUGCUUCAUCAAAGUUGCAAGCUUAAUAAGUGACAAAGUGGGGUCCAAAACCCAAUUGCAGCUAGCCUUUUUAUUUAUACUGCUUCUCGGGUGAAGAGUCACUGACUGGUAAUCUCUGGAAAAACAAACAAGUUUUCACAGACUAUUAGGAUCCCGGUGCAACAGAAGUGUUGAGAGAGCCCUUCUGCAAGGAACGAGAACCCAGCCAGGGCUCCACACUCCCGGAGAAGUUCUCUGUUCAGAACCACCCACUCUGUCAUCUGGGUCCUAUCAGUUCAUGCGGAUAGCUGCUGCCAUCACAAGGUGCCAGGCGCCAUGUUGGGCAUGUGGGUUACCUCAUUGAAUCUUCAAAUAGAUGCUGGUUUUGUCCCUCAGGAGAUGGAGGCUCCGAGAGGAUAGGAGACUUGUUCAAGAUUACUUGGCUCCUAAAGGAUGACAUUGGGCUUCAAUUUAAGUAGGAUUUCAAAGCUUGUGGCCUUGUUUCAUCAGAGGCGAGCAUCUCUACUUCCUCGGGACCAGGAUGGGUUGACCUGGGCUUCAUGUCUGAGUCUACCACUCAGUAGCUGAUUAACCCUGAGGAACACCCUGGACCUCUCCAAGGCUCAGACCUGUGAAAGGAAAGACCUUUCAACCCCCACCCUGGAGUGCACCAUAGGAUCAAAUGCAGCUGCGAAUAUUGUGCAAAAUUUUAAACACAAAAACUCCCCAUGAGACUGAGCUGAUAUCUCAUGGCUCUGGUGGCAAGCAAAAACACAAAGGGGAGAAGCCUCUUUUUUUCCCCCCUACUUCAGUUUUCUGUGUCAGUGCUUGUAAAAUCUUUGGUGUCAUGAACACCUCCUCCAAGUCUUUAGAAGUUCAACUUGCAUUAGGAUUUGACAAGGAAGUCCUUUGUUACUGUUUUCUUCUCUUUCAAGAUUAAAAGAAAAAUCUAAAUAUAGGACUGCCUUCUGCUUAGCAUAGUGCAUUUUCAGUAUAAGCAGACUGACUGCUCAGUCAGACUGAACAAAGCCCCGCGCCCCGAGCUGCCUAGCACCUGAGCCACUCUGCAGCCUGCCUCGUCCGCCUUUGAUGCCCACCUGUCAGUCCUGCUGCAUGGUGAAGAGGCCCCAAUACUGCCUUUCUAGGGCUUUGUCUUCUAUCAGCUGUUUUAUCUUUGCUUGGCUUCAAGCGUCUCUCUCUUUGUUCUCUGCCUUCUGUGUAUCUCUAACGUGGCAGUCUUUCAUUCCAGACCCCAACCUCCUCCCACAGCCUCCUGCACCAGCUUCUCAGGGCCCACAGGCAGCAUCUUGUGUGGGGACCCAAAGCGGCGGUUUGAGGCCACUGUGCAGGCUCAUCCAUCCCAGCUCUCACUAAGAGAACCCGAGCUGUUAAGGAGCAGGCUCUGCCUCCCCUCCCACCUCCAAACCUUUGCCAAGGCUGUUGCCCUAUCCUAGGCUGGAUUCCCCUUUGGGCUGCUCCAUGACUUGUCAAAAACAUAUCCUCAAAAGUUUAAGGGACUCUCAAAGCUAGCUUUUUCUCAAAGGUGUCCAGAGCGCUUCUAAACAGAAUCUUCUCCCCAUUGUGCUCCGCUGCAUUUGUUUCAUGAUGCUACAACCGCAUCCCUCUCUGCCAUGACUUUCUUUGUGUGAUAACCCAUGUCCUGGCAAAUAUGAAUUCCCAACAACAGAGACCACUCUAUUGGAAUUUAUACCUCCAGCCCCUUCCCUCUAGCCCCAGGUGUGGGUGCCUCGUACAAGGCAGAACUCAAUGAACAUUGUAGUGUG